rnacentral:rRNA from 1 species
GCGGAAAUGGUACUGCGGAAGACAUUAAAGAUUCGAGCUCUCCAGCUCUGCCUUUUCCUCAGCUGUGCGCUUAGGCUGCACGCUGUCGAACAACUCACACCUGUGCACCUUUUCGGUUGCGGCCUCUGGUCGCUUCCGCUUUACAUGCAACCACAAUCGGUCUAGAAUGUGUAUAAAACUAUAAAGUAACAACUUUCAACAACGGAUCUCUUGGCUCUCGCAUCGAUGAAGAACGCAGCGAAAUGCGAUAAGUAAUGUGAAUUGCAGAAUUCAGUGAAUCAUCGAAUCUUUGAACGCAUCUUGCGCUCCUUGGUACUCCAUGGAGCAUGCCUGUUUGAGUGUCACGUAAACCCUCACCCUUGCGAUGUAACAGUCGUUCGCGGUGGACUUGGACCGUGCCGUAGUUGGCUCGUCCUGAAAUGCAUUAGCUGGUGCUUUUAGAGUGCUGGGCGACGGUGUGAUAAUUAUCUGCGCCAAUGCCCUGGGCCUCUUCAGCGGUGCCGCUUACAGUCGUCCCCAGAGGACAACGUAUCUAAAGCUUUGGCCUCAAAUCAGGUAGGAUUACCCGCUGAACUUAAGCAUAUCAAAAGGCCGGAGGAA